rnacentral:rRNA from 1 species
GAUCAUGGCUCAGGAUGAACGCUAGCUACAGGCUUAACACAUGCAAGUCGAGGGGCAGCAGGACGAUAGCUUGCUAUUGUUGCUGGCGACCGGCGCACGGGUGAGUAACGCGUAUCCAACCUUCCCCUUAGUAGGGCAUAGCCCGGUGAAAAUCGGAUUAAUACCCUAUGUUAUUCGUCGAGGACAUCUGAAGUGAAUCAAAGAUUUAUCGCUAAGGGAUGGGGAUGCGUCUGAUUAGGUAGUCGGCGGGGUAACGGCCCACCGAGCCCUCGAUCAGUAGGGGUUCUGAGAGGAAGGUCCCCCACACUGGUACUGAGACACGGACCAGACUCCUACGGGAGGCAGCAGUGAGGAAUAUUGGUCAGUGGGCGAGAGCCUGAACCAGCCAAGUAGCGUGCAGGAUGACGGCCCUAUGGGUUGUAAACUGCUUUUAUACGGGGAUAAAGUGAGGGACGUGUCCCUUAUUGUAGGUACCGUAUGAAUAAGGACCGGCUAAUUCCGUGCCAGCCGCUGC